rnacentral:lncRNA from 1 species
GCCCUAACUUGAGCAAAGUCGAAGGUCCGGUUCCCUUUAGACCGGAUGGGGGAGGGGCCCAGCGAUGCCCAUGUGUGCCCCUACAGCCGUGUUAGGGACAAGAGGCGAAUCUCGCCCUAACCAGAGCUGAACCUUGUAACGACAGAAAUAGGGAAAGAACUUCGCCCCGACAUCAAUUAAGGUCUGAUCAUUCAAGACCAGAUGAGAAAAAGGGGGACCUUCCCCAGCGGCCC